UUGGAGCAUGAGCUCCUGCUGCUCACUCUCUCUCUCUGAAUGAAGAUUGAGUGUUACCCCAGACUGCACCAACCUCUGCUUUCACAGGAGGAUUUACCUGCAUCUCUUGAACUAAUUGCCUCAGCCAGCUUGAUUCAUUGGGACUGGAAUUUUAUCGAUCUUUUGAGUGGAGAAGGAGGAUUGUCCCGCCUGCUUCCAGAGAUCUGACUGGUAAAGCACUGAGAUGCCGCUGUUCGAGGGUGGAGUGAGCUUUACCGGAGCGGAGAGUUAGCCAGCCGGCCCCCCGCAGCAGAGUGGGACGUCAGAGGGAGCGUCGAACCUGGAGGGAGGCCGCGCCGUGGGGAAACCGUGGAAGUGUGGGGAAUGCGGGAAGGGGUUUCGAGUCCCCUCUGAGCUGGAGAUCCACCGGCGCGGUCACACCGGGGAGAGGCCGUUCUCCUGCCCCGAGUCCGGCAAGGCCUUCAUUGGGUCCUCCAAGCUGCUGAGGCACCGGCGGGUCCACACCGGGGACAGGCCGUACCCCUGCCCCGAGUGUGGCAAGGCCCUUCACCCAGCUGUCCCACCUGCAGACGCACCGGCGCCUCCACACACCAGGGAGAGGCCUCUCACCUGCCCCGGGGGCGGCAAGGCCUUCAAUCGAUCGCCGACCCUGCGGACGCACAAGCGCCUUCCCAACGUGAUCGCACGGAGUUGAAGUCUGCAGCGAAUCCCACCCAGGACUGGGGGGGGAUCGUGCCCCGUGGGGGGAUUGUGCCCCGUUCGAAGACAGUGGGUGAAGCGGGAAGGGAGCGAGGCUUCCUUUCUGCCGGACUGGCCGCUCUCGCUCCCUUUGCUUCCCGUGGGACCGAUGCUGUUUGAGGCUGGGACUGCACGUUCCCCGGGCCAAAGAUCUGCAGGAGCUGAGGAAGUGCACUCCUUUCACACCGGAUGGUAAAUCAUGUUUGUCCCAUCUAUUUCAGUCUUAAAUACCCUCCGUGACCUGGCCUCCCAGCCUCCUGUGGCAGUGAAUUCCCCAGAUUCCCCACUCUCUGUCUGAAGAGGUUUCCCCUUAUCUCCGUUCUAAAAGGUCUAAGGCUGUGCCCUCGGCUCCUGGUCUCUCCUACCAAUGGAAACAUCUUCCCAAUGGCCACAGAUAGAUCAAAGUCAAAUACAAUAGCCUCUAUUCCAUUGAGUGUCCAGCACACUUUAUAGCACUUUGUAAAAUCAGGAGGGCCAUUGAUGAGGUGAGUGGCAGGUGUCUUUUCCCGAUAGAAUAAAGAAUAUUCCAGCACAGGAACAGGCCCUUCGGCCCUCCAAGCCUACACCGAUCCAGAUCCUCUAUCUAAACCUGCUGCCUAUUUUCUCAGGAUCUGUAUCCCUCUGCUCCCUGCCCUUUCAUGUAUCUGUUGAGAUACAUCUUAAAUGACGCCAUUGUUCCCGUCCCUACCAUCUCCGCUGGCAACACAUUCCAGGUACCCAGCACCCUCUGCGUAAAGAACUUUCCAUACAUAUCUUAAAUCUUUCCCCUCUCACUUUGAACUCAUGACCCCAGGUAACUGAGGCCUCCACUCUGGGGGAAAAACAUUUCUUGCUUUCCACCCUGUCUUUACCUCUCAUGAUUUUGUUGGCCUCAAUCUGGUCCCCCCUCAACCUCCGUCUUUCCAAUGAAAAUAAUCCUGAUCUAUUCAAACUCUCUUCAUAGUUAGCAUCCUCCAUACCAGGUAACAUCCUGGUGAACCUCCUGUGCACCCUCUCCAAAGCAUCCACAUCCAUUUGGUAAUGUGGCGACCAGAACUGUACGUGGUAUUCCAAAUCUGGCCGAAACAAAGUCUUGUAUAACUGUAACAUGACCUGCCAACUCUUGUACUCAAUACUCUGUCCGAUGAAGGAAAGUGUGCCAUAUGCUGCCUUGACCACUCUACUGACCUGCAUUGCCAUCUUCAGGGAACAAUGGGCCUGAACACACAGAUCUCUCUCUACAUCAGUUUUCCCCAGGACUUUUCCAUUUACUGUAUAGUUUGCUCUAGAAUUGGAUCUUCCAAAAUGCAUCACCUCACAUUUGUCUGGAUUGAACUCCAUCUGCCAUUUCUCUGCCCAACUCUCCAGUCUAUUCUCCAUUCUGCUGUAUUCUCUGACAGUCCUCUUCACUAUCUGCUACUCCACCAAUCUUAGUGUCAACUGCAAACUUGCUAAUGAGGCAACCUACACCUUCCUCCAAAUCAUUUAGAUAUAUCACAAACAGCAGUGCUCCCAGCACGGAGCCCUGUGGGACACCACUGGUCACCGUCUCAGUUUUGAGAAACUCCCUUCCAAUACUACUCCCUGUCUCCUGUUUCCCAACCAGUUCUCUAUCCAUCUAGCUAGAAUACCCUGGACCCCAUGUGAUUUCACCUUUUCCAUCAGCCUACCAUGGGGAACCUUGUCAAAUGCCCAAGUAAAGUCCAUGUCUAUGACAUCUGCAGCCCUUCCCUCAUCAAUCAAUUGUCAUUUCCUCGUAGAAUUCUAUUAUUUUGCUAAGUCAUGACCUUCCCUGAACAAAACCAUGCUGCCUAUCACUCAUAAGCUCAUUUUCUUCCAAAUGUAAACAGAUCUUAUCCCUCAGUAUCUUCUCCAGCAGCUUCCCUACCACUGACAUCCAGCUCUCAGGUCUGUAAUUACCUGGAUUAUCCCUGCGACCCUUCUGAAACAAGGGGAAAACAUUAUCAAUUCUCCAGUCCUCUGGGACCUCACCUGUGUUCAAGGAAGCUGCAAAGGUAUCUGUUAAGGCCCAAGCUAUUUCCUCUCUUGCUUCCCUCAGUAACCUGGGAUAGAUCCCAUCAGGACCUGGGGACUUUGACCACCUUAAUGCCUUUUUAGAAUACACAUCACUUCCUCCUCCUUAUGCCGACUUGCCCUAGAGUAUUCAAAGAUCUAUCCCUAACGUCAACAUCCACCAUGUCCCUCUCCUCAGUUAAACCUGACACAAAGUACUCAUUAAGAAUCUUGCCCAUUUUCUCUGACUCCACACACAUCUUUCCUCCUUCGUCCUUGAGUGGGCCCACCCUUUCUCUAGUUACCCUCUUGCUCCUUAUAUAUGAAUAAAGGGCUUUGUGGUUGUCCUUAACCUUGCUCGCUAAGGAUAUCUCAUCGCCCCUUUUAACCCUCUUAAUUCCUCAUUUCAGAUUGGUCCUACUUUCCUGAUAUUCUUCCAAAGCUUUCUGUCUUCAGUCGCCUAGACCUUAUGUAUGCUUCCUUUUUCCUCUCAGCAAGUCUCACAAUUUCACCUGUCAUCCAUGGUUCCCUAAUCUUGCCAAUUCCAUCCCUCAUUUUCACAGAGACAUCUCUCUCCUGAACUCGAAUCAAUUCUCUUUAAGAGCCUCCCAAAUAUCGAAUAUGGAUUUUCCUUCAAAAAGCUGCUCCCAAUCCACACUUCCCCAGCGCCUGCUGAAUUUGGGUAUAGUUGGCCUUUCCCCAAUAAGCACUUUUCCUUUCGGACCACUCUCGUCUUUGUCCAUGAGUAUUCUAAACCUUACGGAAUUGUGAUCCCUACCCCCAACGUAAUCCCAUAUAGGGGCCAAGUGAUGGCAAAUGUGACUAGAUUAAUUUAGGAUAUCUGGUCAGCUUGGACAAGUUGGGCCAAAGGGUCUGUUUCCGUGCUGUAUGACUCUAAUUGUCUUUGGUGAAAGCAGAAGUGUGGUUGUGAAGACUGGACUUGCAGAGCAGCUUUUAAAGAUGUUUUGCCCUGACUGGGAGCAGAAGAGUUUCACUGAAGUGUAUUGGUGUUAAUGCCUUGAUGUCUCAAUUUGCUCCCACCUUCCUGGGGGUCGUUAACCAUUUUGUUCCACAAAUAGCUGCAUUGCAGGUUCCCCCAUGAAUUGACACACUUAUAUUUGCUUCCCAGAUUCAGACUGUUGCUCACUGUCAACUGUAUCCCAGUGUUGUGGAGUUAUCCAAAAUGCAGGGAGAUGUUAGUCUUGACGUUUUUGCAUUUCUGCCCCUGUAAGAUCCUGACUCAGCACCUUCAGUUAGAGUGGAGUGAGGACAGAGGGAGAGAGAGGUGGGAUGGUGCUUUCAAUUUUGUGGAAUAACAAAAGAAAAGAAUAUUCCACAGAAAGUAGAAUUCCUUGUUCAGAAUUUCUACCCUGCACUGACAGUGAUGACCUUUUGUAAUCUCUUUUUAUGGAGUAUUUGAAGAUCUGAAGACGGAUUUUUCAAAAUCAACAGAUGAAGGCCGUUUGCCCGAAAUGUUGACUCUCCUGCUCCUCAGAUGCUGCCUGACCUCCUGCGCUUUUCCAGCACUGCACAUUUCAAAUCUGACUCUCCAGCGUCUGCAGUCCUCACUUUGAAAGUCACUCAGUCCAUCAGGACCGCAACUAUGAUUCUGUGAGAAGGAGCAAAGCUUUUUGGUUCCUGUUUCAGUACGUUUUCAGCAUCAGUGGGACUGGAUGAGAGACCCUACCAUUGCAGGGCACUGAGUGUGGAGCCUGAAGCAGUUUUUUGGCCUGGAAAGAGGAAUUCACAGUGGAGAGAGUCUCUACGUGCGUUUGUGUGUGGCUGAAGCUCCGGCCAUGGAGAAACCAGAGGAAUCCCGCCCCGCGGAGAAACUGUGGAAGUGUGGCGACUGCAAAAAAGGCUUCUGUUUCUCAUCUGCCCUGGAGACUCAUCGGCACAGCCACACGGGGGAGAGGCCAUUCCCCUGCCCUGUCUGUGGCCUACCCAGGCCUCCAACCUCCAGACCCACCGGCGGGUCCACACCGGGGAGAGGCCCUUCCGCUGCCCCAAGUGUGGGAUGGCCUUCAGGAAUUCCUCCCACCAGCGGGUCCACACAGGGGAGAGGCCCUUCAGCUGCCCUGAAUGUGGGAAGACCUUCAGCACAUCCUCCACCCUGCGGAGCCACCAGCGGGUCCACACCGUGGAGAAGCCCUUCAGCUGCCCCGAGUGCGAGAAGGCCUUCAGUAAUUCCUCCGCCCUGCUGAGGCACCAGCAGGUCCACAUCGGGAGAGAGGCCCUUCAGCUGCCCUGAGCGCGGGAAGGCCUUCACCAAUUCUGCUAACCUGCUAAGCCAACAGCAGGUCCACACUGGGAAGAGGCUGUUCCCUUGCACAGAGUGUGGGAAAGCCUUCAGGCAUUCUUCUCACUUGCUGACCCACUGGGGGGUCCACACCGGGGAGAGGCCCUUCAGCUGCCCCCGAGUGUGGGAAGGCCUUCAGCCAUUCCACCAACCUGCUGACCCACCAGCGGGUCCACACAGGGGAGAGGCCGUUCCCAUGCCACGUGUGUGGGAAGGCCUUCAGCAUUUCCUCCCACCUGGUGAGGCACAACGGGUCCACACGGGGGAGAGGCCCUUCAGCUGCCCUGAGUGCGGGAAGGCCUUCACCCGCUCCUCCCACCUGCGGAGGCACCAGCGAGUUCAUGUGCCAUCGCAGGGGGAUUGAAGGAAUGAUGGCUGAGUGCCGUUAUCGACUGGACUAUCAACCCGGUUCCGGGGACUCCCAGGUUCGAAUCCCACCGCGACAGAUGGUGGAAUUGGAAUUUGGUCAGAAAUCUGGAGUUUAGAAUCUAACGGUGAAACCAUUGUCGGUGGGGUGGGGGUGGAAGAAGUCCCCGUUCUUUUUUAGGGAAACAAACUGUCGUUGUGGGAGAGGAUUCACUCAGUCGUCCCAGCUGCAUCCUUUACGUGGUCUAGCCUACACAUGACUCCAGACCCACAGCAGUAUGAUCGACUCUGCACUCCCCAUCCAACUAACUUGGAUACAGGAUACGGGUUGAAAAUGCUGAGUGAGGCAAUACUUUCUCUGGGUUAAGGCUGUACCAAGGAUCCAAUUCCAAAGGGACAACUUGGUGACCAAUAAUGAAGAAAGUGAGGGGUUGGAGGGAGUGUGUGCAAUUUGACUGUGAGCUGUUUUUAAAACAUUGCCACUUUUUCUACGCCUUUCUGCUGGGAGAUUCUGAAGCUGUAACAAAGUUGGGUCGCAAUAAAGUUUACCUGAACUUCCCACCGAGCUCAGACUCUCAUUGAGAGCUUGGAAUUGCAACAUGUUUUUGUUUUAAAACUGCUCAUUUCUUACAGGUGAAAGUGAGAACUGCUGAUGCUGGAGAUCAGAGUCAAGAUUAGAGAGGUGCUGGCAAUGCACAGCAGGUCAGGCAGCAUCCAAGGAAGCAGGAAAAUCGACAUUUUUCGGGCAAUGUUGAUUUUGCUCCUCAGAUUGCUGCCUUACCUGUUGUGCUCAUUUCUGACGGUCUCCUGUACCAUGUUUCCAAUGUUGUGUAUCAGUUGCAGUAGUGAAUGAGUAGCCAGUGUUGUUAGAAAUUGUGAAUUUUUCAGGAGUGCAGGUACUGCAUCAUCCCAUUGUCAUUGUACAGUUUCCUGGCAGCACUGGGAAGUGGUGGCUGUGUCCACUGCAAAUGAUGUGGAGGUGCCGGUGUUGGACUGGGAUGGAUAAAGUUAAAAAUCACACAACACCAGAUUAUCUUCCUUCUGGUUUAUUUGGAAGCACUGGCUUUUGGAGUGCUGCUCCUUCAUCAGGUAGCUGUGGAGCAGAAUCAUAAGACACAGAAUUUAUAGCAAAAGCUGAUGGUGUCAUGCGACUGCUAAGAUAUUGAAUAAAUCUAGAUUGCGGAUUAGUCUUUCAUCUUUUACCAUGGGUUGCAGGUUUCAGUUCAUUAAUAUGUGAACCCCAGAACUACUUUGAAUUCACCUUCGAGAUGGUUUAAGGUUUUAUAAAAAUAGGUGGCAUCUCAGCUUAGAUCCUGCACAAAAGGUGUGAGGUUCGAGUCUGUAUCCCAAUCUUGAAUCAGAUUGGUUCUAUUAACUAAAGUGGGAAUUUAUACAAUAUUACAUGGAUUAUAAAAUA